GCUGCUGUGCCCCUCAAGGUGAUACAGGACAUGUCCCUGCCAUUAUCUGGGACCUACCAGGGUUCCUCACUGCCUGUGGCUUGGUCGUGCAAUCUCUUUGGCCAGUGGAAGGGAGUGAGCACACCGCCUCUGAGCACAGCUGAGCAGGAGUUCACAGAGGGACCUGCGUGGCUGGUGUCAGCUCCUUGGGCUCCCGUGCACUUUGCCAGGAGGAGAUGCCCCUGGUGGGGCCACUCCUUUCACCAGGGCCCAGAGUGUAACCCAGAAGGUGGGGACCUGACAUUCCCCCUCUGCCUGAAGCCAAACGCUGCUGAGCCCAGAGGCCUCUGCACUGCCCUGGCCCUCAUGCUCCGUGAGUGAGAAAGAAGUCUCUGUCCUGAGUGGUCGAGAUGCUGGGUUUGCCUGUUUCCAGAGCAAAAGCUGACUCAGUAGGCAGGGUGAUGAUCAAGGGGGCAUUGAGCUGGCUCCAAAGCAGCCUUCCCCGGGUCAGGAAGGACUGUCGGCAUGUGGCUGGCUACACAGGGUGCACUGGUUCCCUUCCAGUUCCUGGGUGUGAGGGGCCAGGUGAUUGAUUAUACUGCCUUAUGCACUUGUCACGUGUGUUCUGUUCUUGUUCUUCACUGGCCGGCAGCAGUGAAACAUGAAAUCAAAAGUGAAAUUCCUAGACUUUAAGACAACGCCCUGCAGCAGGGGAACAAAAACACUUUGACUGUGGCUUCACGAUGAUAUUCAAGGUAAGGGCCUCCUGAUAUUUCAGGGGAAAUCCACAGGGGCUGCCUCCCCAUGAGAAGGACUCAGUCCGGUUUCCUACAAUGGGGAAGUGUGAGUGCCAGGUUUUAUUUCAAAAGUUGCAUAAAAAUUCUGUUCUUAUGCAAAAUCAGUUUCCAUGAGAGAUUAGGAGUUCGUGGUGGAGGGGCUAUGUCCUUUCUGUGUCCAGAGAGCUGUCCUGGGUCUCCUGUUGAGGAGGGGAGGCUCUGGGAGAGACGUGGGCAUCCCAGGGAGGGGUCUCUGAGUCAGGCUGGGGCCAUCAGGGCAGCCCCUCAGGCCUCGGGUGUGGGGGGAGAGACACGGAUGUGAGGGCAGCAGGGGUCAGGGAAGGAGGGGGAGGGAGGCCGGUCAGGAAGGUCCUGCAGCUCCCCGCAGGGGUGUCCUGCACCCAGAGUCCAGAGGAAGAUCACGGCCAGAGGUCCCCAUGGGAGGCCUCCGUGGUCCUGGGCUGGAUGUGGAGUGGCAGGGACAGGAUGUAGAGCCAGUCAGGGGACCGUGGGGGUCACUGAGGCAGGGACAUGGCUGCCUGACCAAGUCAGUGCCAGGAAAUGGACCAGGAAGGGACCAGGAGGAACGUUGGGAGUCUGUGCUGCUUGGCUGUGCUCACUGGGAGGACAUUGUCAGGAGGAGGGCAAAGGUCGGCUGACCCUGGUCAAUGGCUGCCCAAAGCAGGGUGGGCUGCUGGCCACACGGUGGAGCCCCCUGGAGAGGGGGUGGGUGUCAGGCACAGCAGGUGUAUUCAGGAGCUGAGCAGCUGAGGACGUGGGGACUCGGGUCCCAAAGGCCAUCUCAGCUCCUGAGGCGACUGCGGGACUGGACAGGGAAGCAGCUGUGACAAAGGACGUGCGGGGACCGCUGUGUGCAGAUCCAUGGGGUGGCGGCUGUUGGCAGGUUUCUUCGGGGGGUUAUCAAUAGGCUGAGGCCAAGCUCACACGAGGAAGAGUUCUACUGCGGCUAUGAGUGCACAGAAUGCCACAUCUACCGUGAGGAUGGUGAGCUCCACAGGAAGAGGUGUGUCUACUUUGGAAAGAAGAGAAGACAAAGAGAUGAGGACACCUCAAAUGGCAAGGGAAAUGUCAUCGAAGAUUUGCAGCUUCCAGUCUGCUCUCCGCUUCAGCCUGCGCUCUGCAACUGAGCCCGCUGGAUCUGCUGCUCCUCUAGUCAACAGAACAUGGGAAUUUGAGAUGGAUGUUAACAGAGAGGCCUGCCUAGGGCACAUGCGUCUGUGUGGGGGCACCCAUGCCUGGGGCCUUGGGGGACACCCUCCCUGUACCCCCCUGCACGUGAGCUCGUGGGUUGGAGGAACAAAUAUCUAGACGCUUAACCCUAACUCUUCAGUCACUGCUGCAUUUAAUAAACACGAGUGAGCAUUUCA